rnacentral:pre_miRNA from 1 species
UUUCUACUCCCUCCGUUCGGAAUUACUUGUCUCAGAAAUGGAUGUAUCUAGAAUUAAAAAUUCAUCUAGAUACAUCUAUUUCCGCGACAAGUAAUUUCGAACGGAGGGAGUAGUAU